UGGGAUUACGGGCAUGAGCCACGGCGCCUGGCCAGGGCUUCAUUUUCUAUAAAAGCAAAAAAACAACAUGCUUAAGAUUUUAAGAUGUUUAAUACUCAAUUUUGCAAUAGCCCCAUCUUCAAAAAUAUAUUGAGCUGAUUCUGUUGAAAGAGCAUUUGUGUGUGUGUGUGUGUGUGUGUAUAUAUGGAGGGGUGGAAACAAUGGUGUGUGUGUGUGUGUGUGUGUGUGUAUGGAGGGGUGGAAACAAUGAUAGAGAUUCUAAAUAAAUCCAAGAACUGUGAAGGGUUGGGUGAGAGGAGGACAGGCAGGGGCAUCUGGACAUGGGUGUGCAUGCACGGACCCGGCUGCAGCCGGGUGGCUGAUCAGCGGCACCUUGAAGACUUUACAGAGCGUUUCUGCCGUCUGCAGCCAUCCUGGCCCCGCCCAGCCUUGUUUCCCCUUUUACUGCAGCUCAUCUUCCCCGACCUGGUGGAGGGGCUGGUGCUGGUGAACAUCGACCCCAACGGCAAAGGCUGGAUAGACUGGGCUGCCACCAAGCUCUCCGGCCUAACUAGCACUUUACCCGACACGGUGCUCUCCCACCUCUUCAGCCAGGAGGAGCUGGUGAACAACACAGAGUUGGUGCAGAGCUACCGGCAGCAGAUUGGGAACGUGGUGAACCAGGCCAACCUGCAGCUCUUCUGGAACAUGUACAACAGCCACUUUCCUGGUGCUCUCUGGGCCCAGCUGGUGCUGUAGGGCUAGGCAGGCAGGGGUGUCAAGGGGUUUCUCUGCCCAAGGAAGACAGAACAUGGAGAACCGUGAGGGCAGGAACCCCACAGACUGUCCCUUCCAGCCCACACUCUGCUAUCUCCUGGCCCUGUCCCAUUUCUGAGCCAAGGCCUCCCCGAGGCAGAAGUUGCCUGGUCCUCUGUCCCCACAGUGACCUGACUGGGGGUGAGGGAGGAGGAGGAGAGAGCCCAUGUGUGAUGUGUGUGUGCCCCUGAGAACUUCGUGGUGACUGCCUUUGGGAGCCCGCAGGUGGCCAGAGGCAGGGGUAGCUGAGUUCCUGGAGACCCCUUUUUUGCCCCCAGGUUCCCAAGAGGGCAACGCCAUCAGUAGCAGUAUGGUGUUUCAGGCAGAGCUCUGGCCAGGCUGUGCCAGUGUGUCCCGGAAGCAUCACUAAGGAAGACAGAGUUUUAGUCAACUGGCCCAAGGCAGCGAGGCUUCCACAGUCCCACCCCCCAUAGCCGCCUGGGCUGGGGCUUACUGGGGGCUGAAUGUUCUGGACAUGAACAAGGGUCAGGUAGAGGAGAAAGGCUUCCCCUACACUGCAGCCUCCUGCUGUCCCCUGAAGCUCAGGACUGCGAUGUAUGCUUUCCAACCACUCACCUUACCCCAUAGCAUCUUGUGGCCCAGAAACCAGAGCCAUUUGUCUCGGACCCUAAAUCAAUGGUCACAAACCCCAAAACAGAGAGGGGAGAGAACAGUGAAAACAUGAAGGGCUGUGGAGGGGGGAAGGGUUGUGGCGGGUGUUCUGAGGCUGAGAGGACACCUAUAUGCGUAUUUCCUCUACACACAUCACCCCCCUUCUAUAAUCUUAAGCCAUGACUAGCCUGGUGGCGUGUUAGUUUCUGCCCAGUUCUACCCCCUCAUGUGCUUCUUCUGAAUACUGAAUGUGACUGUUUGAAAACUGGUAGAAUUCAUCCCUCUUACUGUAGAUAGCACUGCAAAUCUUGGAAUUUUGUUUUUUUGCUGUUUCCAGAUAUAUCUAUCUAUAAAUAUCUAUACAUUAUAUAUAUAUGUGUGUGUGUGUGUACAUCGGGUCCUCCCAUGUAUGGUGUUCCUCCAGAGAUUGUCUCUUUGGUCAAGGUGAACUUUUAAUGUUUAUUAUUUUCUUCUCCGCACAAAGUAAAGAGCCUAAUUUUGUGUAUUCUGGUGGCUGCUGUCAUGAGAUGACAAAAUGUAAAACAAAACUCUAGUCAACGUAGAAAGAGUUAACUGUGCUGAAAAACUAAUAAAGAACCUAAGAAG
rnacentral:sRNA from 1 species